CAGCAAGAACACUGGACCCUUUUCUUCAUCUUCCUCAUCAAGGUAAGCCAUCACCAAACUCAGAAAAUGAACAAAAUUCUGUUACCCUGGAAGUCCUGCUUGUGAAAGUUUGCCACAAAAAAAGAAAAGGAUGUAAGUUGUCCAAUAAGGCAAGUUCCCACAGGUAAAAAGCAGGUGCCUUUGAAUCCUGACCUCAAUCAAACAAAACCUGGAAAUUUCCCGUCCCUUGCAGUUUCCAGUAAUGAAUUUGAACCUAGUAACAGUCAUAUGGUGAAGUCUUACUCGUUGCUAUUUAGAGUGACUCGUCCAGGAAGAAGAGAGUUUAAUGGAAUGAUUAAUGGAGAAACCAUGAAAAUAUUGAUGUCAAUGAAGAGCUUCCAGCCAGAAGAAAACGAAAUCGUGAGGAUGGGGAAAAGACAUUUGUUGCACAAAUGACAGUAUUUGAUAAAAACAGGUAAUGUUGAUGAACAAGCGAGGCUCCCACAAUGUUCUGGAAAUGUUUUCAUUCUGAAGCAGA
rnacentral:lncRNA from 1 species